rnacentral:miRNA from 1 species
ACUCAUUGGAAGGUUU